rnacentral:rRNA from 1 species
GACAGAGGGUGCUAGCGUUGUUCGGAAUUACUGGGCGUAAAGGGCGCGUAGGCGGCUUGUUUAGUCGGGUGUGAAAUCCCGGGGCUCAACCCCGGAACUGCAUUCGAUACUGGCAGGCUAGAGACCGGAAGAGGUGGGUGGAAUACCCAGUGUAGAGGUGAAAUUCGUAGAUAUUGGGUGGAACACCGGUGGCGAAGGCGGCUAACUGGUCCGGUUCUGACGCUGAGGCGCGAAAGCGUGGGGAGCAAACAGG